AGGGCGUAUGGUGGAUGCCUAGGCUCUCAGAGGCGAUGAAGGACGUGAUAAGCUGCGAAAAGCUCCGUUUAGGUGCAAAUAACCUUUGAUGCGGAGAUCUCCGAAUGGGAUAACCCAAUAUGUUGAAGACAUAUUAUACCGUAAGGUAGGCAAACGCAGGGAACUGAAACAUCUAAGUACCUGCAGGAGAAGAAAACAAACGUGAUUCCCCCAGUAGCGGCGAGCGACCGGGGAAAAGCCCAAACCGUUAUUGUUUCGGCAUUAACGGGGUAGUAGGACUGCAAGCUUGAUGAAAUAAAUGAAAUGGAACACCUUGGAAAAUGUGAUCACAGAGGGUGAUAAUCCCGUACAUGCAAGUUUAUGAAUCAUAGCAGACUCCUGAGUAAGUCGGGACACGUGUAAUCCUGACCGAAUCCGCCGGGACCAUCCGGCAAGGCUAAAUACUCCUGAGAGACCGAUAGUGAACCAGUACCGUGAGGGAAAGGUGAAAAGCACUUCGAACAGAAGAGUGAAAUAGUCCCUGAACCCAUACGCCUACAAGCAGUCGGAGCCGCUUCGUGCGGUGACGGCGUGCCUUUUGCAUAAUGAGCCUACGAGUUACUCAUCACCAGCGAGGUUAAGUACUUCAGGUACGUAAGCCGAAGCGAAAGCGAGUCUGAAUAGGGCGUCAAGUUGGUGGUGGUAGACGCGAAACCUUAGUGAUCUACCCAUGGGCAGGGUGAAGGUUUGGUAACACAAACUGGAGGCCCGAACCGGUAAACGUUGAAAAGUUUUCGGAUGACCUGUGGGUAGGGGUGAAAGGCCAAUCAAACUGGGAAAUAGCUCGUACUCUCCGAAAUGCAUUUAGGUGCAGCCUCUGUUGUUUUGUUCUAGAGGUAGAGCUACUGAUUGGAUGCGAGGGCUUCACCGCCUAUCAAAUCCGGCCAAACUCCGAAUGCUAGAACAUGAAGACAGGGAGUGAGCCAGCGGGUGCUAAGGUCCGUUGACGAAAGAGGGAGAACUCAGACCAUCAGCUAAGGUCCCCAAUUAUAUGCUAAGUUGGAAUUAAAACGGGGUGGGACUGCUUAGACAGCUAGGAUGUUGGCUUGGAAGCAGCCAUUCAUUUAAAGAGUGCGUAACAGCUCACUAGUCGAGCGGUCCUGCAUGGAUAAUACGCGGGCAUAAGCAUAUAACCGAAGCUAUGGGAUUGUAGAUGAUACAAUCGGUAGGAGAGCAUUCCAUUCAGCGUAGAAGCAGUACCGUGAGGUAUUGUGGAGCGGAUGGAAAAGCAAAUGUAGGCAUAAGUAACGAUAAUGCGGGUGAGAACCCCGCACGCCGAAAGAUCAAGGAUUCCCCGGCAAUGUCAAUCAUCCGGGGGUAAGUCGGAUCCUAAGGGUAAGCCGAGUGGCGAUCCCGAUGGCAAACAGGUUAAUAUUCCUGUACUGAUCAUAACUGCGAUGCAGCGACGCAGAGGUGACACUGCUGCGUACUGACGGAAUAGUACGUUGAAACCCGUAUUCUUUGAUACCGGUAGUGAAGCACGCCGGUAGAGAUGAAAGGUGAUAGUACCGCAAUGCUUCGGUUGCGCGGAUAAUGCAGGUAAGCUGACUGCCAAGAAAACCUGCUAAGCUUCAGGUAAUGAUCAUCCGUACUGUAAACGGACACACGUGAUCAGGUAGAAAAUACUAAGGCGCUCGAGAGAUUCAUGGUUAAGGAACUAGGCAAAAUGGUCCUGUAACUUCGGGAUAAAGGACGCUCUUGUGAAAGAGCCGCAGAUAAUAGGCCCAGGCGACUGUUUACCAAAAACACAUGGCUAUGCUAAUUCGCAAGAAGAUGUAUAUGGCCUGACACCUGCCCGGUGCCGGAAGGUUAAGAGGAGAGCUCAGAGGUAACUCGAAGGUUUGAAUUGAAGCCCCGGUAAACGGCGGCCGUAACUAUAACGGUCCUAAGGUAGCGAAAUUCCUUGUCGGGUAAGUUCCGACCUGCACGAAUGGUGUAACGAUCUGGGUACUGUCUCAACCAUGAGCUCGGUGAAAUUGUAGUUCCGGUGAAGAUGCCGGAUACCCGCAACGGGACGGAAAGACCCCGUGAACCUUUACUGCAGCUUUGCAUUGAUUUUGGGUAACAGAUGUGUAGGAUAGGUCGGAGGCUUUGAUGCUGCGUCGUCAGGCGUAGAGUAGCCGUCGUUGAAAUACGACCCUUUUGUUAUCUGA
rnacentral:rRNA from 1 species